rnacentral:rRNA from 1 species
AUUGAACGCUGGCGGCAUGCCUUACACAUGCAAGUCGAACGGCAGCACGGGUGCUUGCACCUGGUGGCGAGUGGCGAACGGGUGAGUAAUACAUCGGAACGUACCUUAUCGUGGGGGAUAACGCAGCGAAAGCUGUGCUAAUACCGCAUACGCCCUGAGGGGGAAAGCGGGGGAUCGAAAGACCUCGCGCGAUUAGAGCGGCCGAUGCCUGAUUAGCUUGUUGGUGGGGUAAAAGCCCACCAAGGCGACGAUCAGUAGCUGGUCUGAGAGGACGACCAGCCACACUGGGACUGAGACACGGCCCAGACUCCUACGGGAGGCAGCAGUGGGGAAUUUUGGACAAUGGACGCAAGUCUGAUCCAGCAAUGCCGCGUGCAGGACGAAGGCCUUCGGGUUGUAAACUGCUUUUGUCAGGGAAGAAACAGCAGCUCUAACACAGUCUGCGAAUGACGGUACCUGAAGAAUAAGCACCGGCUAACUACG